GGGGCUUUAGCUCAGCUGGGAGAGCGCCUGUUUUGCACGCAGGAGGUCAGGGGUUCGAUCCCCCUAAGCUCCA
rnacentral:tRNA from 1 species